rnacentral:rRNA from 1 species
GUAACGAAUAUUCCGCAAUGCGCGAAAGCGUGACGGAGCAAUGCCGCGUGAAGGAUGAAGCCCCUCGGGGUGUAAACUUCUGUCAGGGUCUAGGAAUUUUGACCAAACCCAAAGGAAGGACCGGCUAACUCUGUGCCAGCAGCCGCGGUAAUACAGAGGGUCCGAGCGUUGAUCGGAAUCAUUGGGCUUAAAGGGUGCGCAGGCGGAUGGGCAAGUGCGUUGUGAAAUCCCAUGGCUUAACCAUGGAAUUGCUUCGCAGACUGCCCGUCUUGAACCCGGCAGGGGCUGUCAGAACGUUAGGUGGAGCGGUGAAAUGCGUAGAUAUCUAACGGAAUGCCGACGGAGAAGUCAGACAGCUGGGCCGGUGUUGACGCUCAGGCACGAAAGCGUGGGUAGCGAACGGGAUUAGAAACCCUAGUAGUCC